ensembl:snoRNA
ACAGCACUUUCACAGGUCCGCCCUUGGUCAGUGGGGCCAGGAUUUGGUAGCUGGUGCUGACAGAAAACCCUUGAUUGCAUCCUUGCCCUGUCUGUACCAGUGGCAGCUGUCUCUCAGGGGAACAGAU